UACGGAGGGUGCAAACGUUGCUCGGAAUCAUUGGGCGUAAAGGGCUCGUAGGCGGCCAACUAAGUCGGACGUGAAAUCCCUCAGCUUAACUGGGGAACUGCGUCCGAUACUGGAUGGCUUGGAUUUGGGAGAGGGAUGCGGAAUUCCAGGUGUAGCGGUGAAAUGCGUAGAUAUCUGGAGGAACACCGGUGGCGAAGGCGGCAUCCUGGACCAAUAUUGACGCUGAGGAGCGAAAGCUAGGGGAGCAAACGGG
rnacentral:rRNA from 1 species